AACUACUGCGAAAGCAUUUCCCAAGGAUGUUUUCAUUAAUCAGGAACGAAAGUUAGGGGAUCGAAGACGAUCAGAUACCGUCGUAGUCUUAACCAUAAACUAUCCCGACUAGGGAUCGGACGAUGUUAUAUUUUGACCCGUUCGGCACCUUACGAGAAAUCAAAGUGCUUGGGCACCAGGGGGAGUAUGNUCGCAAGGCUGAAACUUAAAGAAAUUGNCGGAAGGGCACCACCAGGGGUGGAGCCUGCGGCUUAAUUUGACUCAACACGGGGAAACUCACCAGGUCCAGACACAAUGAGGAUUGACAGAUUGAGAGCUCUUUCUUGAUUUUGUGGGUGGUGGUGCAUGGCCGUUCUUAGUUGGUGGAGUGAUUUGUCUGCUUAAUUGCGAUAACGAACGAGACCUUAACCUGCUANAUAGCCCGUAUUCGCUUUGGCAGUACGCUGGCUUUUUAGAGGGACUAUCGGCUCAAGCCCGAUGGAAGUUNGAGGCAAUAACAGGUCUGUGAUNCCCUUAGAUGUUUUGGGCCGCACGCGCGNUACAUCUGNCGGAGCCAGCGAUACUUUCCUUGGCCGAAAGGCCCGGUAAUCUGUAACUCCUGC
rnacentral:rRNA from 1 species